rnacentral:lncRNA from 1 species
AAACCGUUGUGAGUUGCCUCUGGGUUGUCAACAUGUCGCGUCCAAACAAUUCAACCACCUCGAUGGGACUAUACUGACUUGACCCGACGGCCACCAUAAACGUCCACAAAUUCCAAAGUUUGGCCAUCAGUUAUCAAUUCAUUUAGUUCUUCUGUACAGCUACCAGCAAUCAUCUUCGCGCUACUAAUACUGCUCUGUCGCGCCUGUUAGCCUAGCCUCUUUAAGCGUUGU